GAUGAAGAACGUAGCGAAAUGCGAAGUAAUGUGAAUUGCAGAAUUCAGUGAAUCAUCGAAUCUUUGAACGCACAUUGCGCCCGCCAGUAUUCUGGCGGGCAUGCCUGUUCGAGCGUCAUUUCAACCAUCAAGCCCCAGGCUUGUGUUGGGGACCUGCGGCUGCCGCAGGCCCUGAAAACCAGUGGCGGGCUCGCUGUCACACCGGGCGUAGUAGAUUUUAUCUCGCUCAGGGCGUGCUGCGGGUUCCGGCCGUUAAAAAGCCUUUUUUACCCAAGGUUGACCUCGGAUCAGGUAGGAAGACCCGCUGAACUUAAGCAUAUCAAUAAGCGGAGGA
rnacentral:misc_RNA from 1 species